AUUCAGACAAAUUUCUAAGUUAAAGGGAUUAUGAUGAAUAAGGAUUUCAUUUAUUCAUUGACAACUUUAUUUAGAUUUAUAGUAUUAUAUAAAAUAAGGAUUUGGAGUUAUUUGGUGGCCAUGAUUAGAUGGAUAUAUGACUAAGUCUAAGAGUUGAAUUUAUGAAAUGAUUAUUUAUAUGGCUUCGUUAUUUUUCAAUUAUACAAGUUUAUUUUAUAUGAAUAGACUAAUAAAUUCAAGAUGAGUUUAUGAAAUAUUAAAUGGCUCCAAA
rnacentral:misc_RNA from 1 species